rnacentral:rRNA from 1 species
UACGUGGGUGGCAAGCGUUGUCCGGAUUUAUUGGGUUUAAAGGGUGCGUAGGCGGUCCUAUAAGUCAGUGCUGAAAUAUCCCGGCUUAACCGGGAGGGUGGCAUUGAUACUGUAGGACUUGAGUAAAGUUGAGGUUGGCGGAAUUGACGGUGUAGCGGUGAAAUGCUUAGAUAUCGUCAAGAACACCUAUUGCGAAGGCAGCUAACUAAGCUUUAACUGACGCUGAGGCACGAAAGUGUGGGGAUCAAACAGG